rnacentral:rRNA from 1 species
UGCGUAGGCGGGCUAAUAAGUCAGUGGUGAAAUCUCUCGGCUCAACCGGGAGACUGCCAUUGAUACUGUUAGUCUUGAGUUCGGUUGAGGUAGGCGGAAUGUGUAAUGUAGCGGUGAAAUGCCUAGAUAUUACACAGAACACCAAUUGCGUAGGCAGCUUACUAGACUGACACUGACGCUGAGGCACGAAAGCGUGGGGAGCGAACAGGAUUAGAUACCCUGGUAGUCC